rnacentral:rRNA from 1 species
AUAGCGUAUAUUAAAGUUGUUGCAGUUAAAAAGCUCGUAGUUGAACUUCAGACCUGGCUGGGUGGUCCGCUUAACGGCGUGUACUGCCUGGCUGGGCCUUACCUCUUGGUGAGCCGGCGUGCCCUUUAUUGGUGUGCGUCGGGGAACCAGGACUUUUACCUUGAGAAAAUUAGAGUGUUCAAAGCAGGCCUAUGCCCGAAUACAUUAGCAUGGAAUAAUAAAAUAGGACGUGCGGUUCUAUUUUGUUGGUUUCUAGAGUCGCCGUAAUGAUUAAUAGGGAUAGUUGGGGGCAUUGGUAUUGAGUCGCUAGAGGUGAAAUUCUUGGAUUGACUCAAGACCGACUAUUG